CAUACCUGAAUGACUCGAUGAUCUUUGUGUUUUGCUGAGCGGCAAUAGAAGCAAAAUGCAUCGACAUUACAGUCUAAGCAAUACAUAUUGCAUUCACUCCUUGCGGCCGCGCUGUGAGUCCGACAGACGGUGAAGAAAGCGGUGUUCAGUAGUGGUUCUAGCCAUGGAGGGACCAACAUUUUGUUCACGGACUAAAAAUUCUAAAGAGAAAAAUUGAAACUUGUAGUGGGAAUAUUUCGAUAGAUGAUUAUUUGAUUCUUGAAUGGUAACUGAAGAAAUUUGCAGAUAGAGAGAGAUCGGGGCAAACCUAAACAAUCAGCAACUUAGAAUUCGACAAGAAAACUAAACCCAGCCUUGCUGGGUGGGGCAAAGUCCUAAUAAACAAAAAUUGACUAAUGGUGAAUGGACGGUCGAGAUUAAAGUUGGUUACUUUUGGAUCUUCUUUGCGUCUCUACAUGGGAAUAACACAAGGGUCGGCCAC
rnacentral:lncRNA from 1 species